rnacentral:rRNA from 1 species
GGAUAACCCCGGGAAACUGGGGCUAAUCUCCCAUAGGUUUAGGGCACUGGAAGGUCCCUAAACCGAAAGGGGCUCUGCCCGCCCGAGGAUGGGCCGGCGGCCGAUUAGGUAGUUGGUGGGGUAACGGCCCACCAAGCCCAUAAUCGGUACGGGCAGUGAGAGCUGGAGCCCGGAGAUGGACACUGAGACACGGGUCCAGGCCCUACGGGGCGCAGCAGGCGCGAAACCUCCGCAAUGCUCGAAAGAGCGACGGGGGGACCCCAAGUGCCGUGGUACAACCACGGCUUUUCCGGAGUGUAAGAAGCUCCGGGAAUAAGGGCUGGGCAAGGCCGGUGGCAGCCGCCGCGGUAAUACCGGCGGCCCGAGUGGUGGCCACUAUUAUUGGGCCUAAAGCGUCCGUAGCCGGGCUUGUAAGUCCCUGGCGAAAUCCCACGGCUCAACCGUGGGGCUUGCUGGGGAUACUGCAAGCCUUGGGACCGGGAGAGGCCGGGGGUACUCCUGGGGUAGGGGUGAAAUCCUAUAAUCCCAGGAGGACCGCCAGUGGCGAAGGCGCCCGGCUGGAACGGGUCCGACGGUGAGGGACGAAGGCCAGGGGAGCAAACCGGAUUAGAUACCCGGGUAGUCCUGGCUGUAAAGGAUGCGGGCUAGGUGUUGCUUGGACCUCGAGUCCAA